rnacentral:rRNA from 1 species
CAGCAGCCGCGGUAAUACGAAGGGGGCUAGCGUUGUUCGGAAUUACUGGGCGUAAAGCGCACGUAGGCGGAUAUUUAAGUCAGGGGUGAAAUCCCAGAGCUCAACUCUGGAACUGCCUUUGAUACUGGGUAUCUUGAGUAUGGAAGAGGUAAGUGGAAUUGCGAGUGUAGAGGUGAAAUUCGUAGAUAUUCGCAGGAACACCAGUGGCGAAGGCGGCUUACUGGUCCAUUACUGACGCUGAGGUGCGAAAGCGUGGGGAGCAAACAGGAUUAGAUACCCGCGUAGUCCCUGUCUCUUAUAC